UGCGUAGGCGGUUGGGUAAGUCGCGUGUGAAAGCCCGGGGCUCAACCCCGGAGCUGCAUGCGAGACUGCCCGGCUCGAGCACGGUAGAGGCGGGCGGAAUUCCUGGUGUAGCGGUGGAAUGCGUAGAUAUCAGGAAGAACACCGGUGGCGAAGGCGGCUCGCUGGGCCGUUGCUGACGCUGAGGCACGAAAGCGUGGGGAGCAAACAGGAUUAGAUACCCUGGUAGUCCACGCCCUAAACGAUGGACACUAGGCGUCGGGGGGAGCGACCCUCCCGGUGCCGUCGCUAACGCAAUAAGUGUCCCGCCUGGGGAGUACGGCCGCAAGGCUGAA
rnacentral:rRNA from 1 species